CCCCCAUUCUCCUAUUGAGCCCAUCCAGUGAGAUUUUUUAUUUCUGAUGUUAUACCUUUUAAUUCCAAAAUUUCUGUUUCAUUCUUUUUACAUUAUUUC